rnacentral:lncRNA from 1 species
GCCUGCUGUCAUGCAACGUGUCUUUGCUCCUCCUUCACCUUCCGCCAUGAUUGUGAGGCUUCCCCAGCCAUGUGGAAACAUAUUCGCAGAGCACCCACUAGGUGCCAGUAAAUGUAUGAGAAGUCCUGUGGAAUAAGACUGAAGUUGUCCUUGCCUUCAAGCAACUUGCAAUUGCCUAAGAACACAGUUUAAAACCACAAAACUAAGCCUUGGAAAUCACAUGCUGUCAUUUCUGCGAUCGGUCAUAACCAGUCCUGAUUCCAUGUUAGAGGAGACUACAUAAGGACACAGGUACCAGAAGCUGGAUCCACUGACCUGGAAUGCCUGGACUGAAGCAGGAGACUAACCAGCAUGGGCUACAUCAAAAAGGCUGCCAUCUACUUUCUGCUGGGUAGGGGCACCAGAGAGACUUGUCAGAAACUAGAAGGAAGAUGAAAAAUUUGGAGUCUAGUGAAAAGAAGUGACUUGCUCAAAAUCACACAGCACAUGAAGAACAGAGCCUCUAUGAUGAAUUUCUUGACAGCUGAUAUAAGUCUUUUGAGGUACAGCCUGGCACAAAAAGGAUGAGAUUUGUGGGCAGAAUUUUGGAAGAAUAUCUCCCGAGAGAACAUUCAGGACAGAGCCCUACAUCUCCCCGAGAAGAGGUGAAAGAGACUGCUCCUAUCUGCUUCUGCAUCAAACUUCAGGCUCAAGACCUGUCCAGAAAAAAAAAUGUCUUCUUUCAGGGAUGAACUGCUGUCCUCAUCAGACGCCUUAUUUUGUUUAGAAUUCAAGCUCACUUGACAGGUUAUUGUGAAGAUUAAAUGAAUUAAUACAUGUGAAGCAACUGUAACAACUCUUGACAUGCGUGGGCUGGACUUCCAGAAGAAACGUUGUCAGAACUCUGCCCAACUGAAAACAAGCCUACUAAAAAUAAAUAAAUAAAUAAAAUUUUAAAAAA